CAGCAGCCGCGGGAAUACGAAGGGUGCAAGCGUUAAUCGGAAUUACUAGGCGUAAAGCGUGCGUAGGCGGUUCGUUAAGUCUGCUGUGAAAUCCCCGGGCUCAACCUGGGAAUGGCAGUGGAUACUGGCGAGCUAGAGUGUGUCAGAGGAUGGUGGAAUUCCCGGUGUAGCGGUGAAAUGCGUAGAGAUCGGGAGGAACAUCAGUGGCGAAGGCGGCCAUCUGGGACAACACUGACGCUUAGGCACGAAAGCGUGGGGAGCAAACAGGAUUAGAUACCCCUGUAGUCCCUGUCUCUUACAC
rnacentral:rRNA from 1 species